AGUGAACGCUGGCGGUAGGCCUAACACAUGCAAGUCGAACGGCAGCACAGUAAGAGCUUGCUCUUACGGGUGGCGAGUGGCGGACGGGUGAGGAAUACAUCGGAAUCUACUUUUUCGUGGGGGAUAACGUAGGGAAACUUACGCUAAUACCGCAUACGACCUACGGGUGAAAGCAGGGGAUCUUCGGACCUUGCGCGAUUGAAUGAGCCGAUGUCGGAUUAGCUAGUUGGCGGGGUAAAGGCCCACCAAGGCGACGAUCCGUAGCUGGUCUGAGAGGAUGAUCAGCAACAAUGGAACUGAGACACGGUCCAGACUCCUACGGGAGGCAGCAGUGGGGAAUAUUGGACAAUGGGCGCAAGCCUGAUCCAGCCAUACCGCGUGGGUGAAGAAGGCCUUCGGGUUGUAAAGCCCUUUUGUUGGGAAAGAAAAGCAGCAGGUUAAUACCCCGCUGUUCUGACGGUACCCAAAGAAUAAGCACCGGCUAACUUCGUG
rnacentral:rRNA from 1 species